UUGAAUCUUGGGCCAAUGAGGUGUGGCUUUCUUCUAACUUUUCUUGAGAGCUUUGGAGGCCUUCUUGAAUUCUUCCAACUUGCUAUGUUCCUUGCAAAAUAAAUAAUCUUUCUUCUUGCAACACAAACAUUAGUAUUUAUACUUCAAGGUUUUGUGAUCAUCAAAAUCAAUCUUUAAAUCAAUCUUUGGGUCAUCAGUCUCCCCCUUUUUGAUGAUGACAAAACUUAGAGUAUAUGCAAUAUAAAAUAUAUUGUGUUCUAGAAGUAAUACAUAGCUAAGUUGCAUGAAGUAGAAAACAUAUAUAUUUAAAAACAUACUUCAUGAUAAUGCGUUAGAUUUAAUCAGCUUAACACAAUCAACAUAUUUCAAUUUAAGCUGAGUUGGUGUUCAAUGCAAAACACAAAGCAUUAUGAGCAUAUACUUAGAUAUUUCUCCCCCUUUUUGACAGCAUCAAAAAGAUAGUGAAACAUGAAG
rnacentral:lncRNA from 1 species